GCAUGCGGGAAGACCACCCUAAGGGAAGAAUCAUGGGAAAGAGGCAGAAAAUUAAAACUGGAUUGCUACCUGGUGCUUCCAUACACUGAAGAGAAAGAACACUCCAAUCUGCCAGCCUUACGAUGUUGGGAAAACGCAUCAAACAGUGCUAAGGUUUUAAGCACGGAGAAUAUAAUCCAGUUGUAAAGCUAUUAACCCAGAGAAGAUCAUACGCACUGCAUUGGUUACAUGGAUUACAGCUGCAGACUUCUAACACAAAAUCCACACACAAGUACACGGACCCACUUGGAGGCCUCAGCCCCUUAUUUCCUGCUUCUCUCCACUGUCUUAUUUUCAAGCUGCUACUGGUGCACCAUGAGAACCUGAUUUAAUACUAAGUGUCCAUACCAAAGGGUUAAAGAGAAAUAAUAAGCCUUUUCAAAAGACUGCACCACUGAUAUCAACUAACUGCCUGACGGUGCCCCUCCCUUCUGUGGUUCUGACAAUCCAAUCCACCAGCAUUCCUUCCUGAUAAGAGACCACUGACCACAGAGUGGUUCUGGCCAGUCUACAGAGGAUACGCAGUGAAGGUUUCCAUGUCCUGUGCUUCACCUUUUGACAACAGAUGGCUGAAAACACCACCCUUGGAUAAUCCUAAUGCUGCCAUUUUUUGAACAUGGGUCCUAUGAGGCAGCAUGAAGCUCAUUUGAGCAUGUGCAUGUUUCUCCUUUCAUCAAUAUUCAUGACUGCUCCUAUCGCUUAUUGAAUAUGUGUAUUUGGCCAUCUCAUUCAGUAUAAAUCCCUGUGUUAUUCUUCCCACCCUUGACAUGUCUGUUUCUGGCUUCCAAGCAGAGGCUAUGCUUCCCCACCUGUCAUAAUGGCCACCCUGCAGGCUG